CUUAUACUCCCUCCGUUCCGAAUUACUUGUCUUGGAUUUGUCUAGAUACGGAUGUAUCUCGACUCAUUUUAGUGCUAGAUACAUCCGUAUCUAGACAAAUCUAAGACAAGUAAUUCGGAACAGAGGGAGUAUUUA
rfam:Triticum aestivum genome assembly, contig: Triticum_aestivum_CS42_TGACv1_scaffold_032646_1BL